GACGAACGCUGGCGGCGUGCUUAACACAUGCAGGUCGAACGGAAAGGCCCUGCUUUUGUGGGGUGCUCGAGUGGCGAACGGGUGAGUAACACGUGAGUAACCUGCCCUUGACUUUGGGAUAACUUCAGGAAACUGGGGCUAUUACCGGAUAGGAGCUCUUGCUCCAUGGUGGGGGUUGGAAAGUUUCGGCGGUUGGGGAUGGACUCGCGGCUUACCAGCUUGUUGGUGGGGUAGUGGCUUACCAAGGUUUUGACGGGUAGCCGGCCUGAGAGGGUGACCGGCCACAUUGGGACUGAGAUACGGCCCAGACUCCUACGGGAGGCAGCAGUGGGGAAUAUUGCACAAUGGGCGGAAGCCUGAUGCAGCAACGCCGCGUGCGGGAUGACGGCCUUCGGGUUGUAAACCGCUUUCGCCUGUGACGAAGCGUGAGUGACGGUAAUGGGUAAAGAAGCACCGGCUAACUACGUG
rnacentral:rRNA from 1 species